rnacentral:rRNA from 1 species
GACGAACGCUGGCGGCGUGCUUAACACAUGCAAGUCGAACGGAAAGGCCCUGCUUUUGUGGGGUGCUCGAGUGGCGAACGGGUGAGUAACACGUGAGUAACCUGCCCUUGACUUUGGGAUAACUUCAGGAAACUGGGGCUAAUACCGGAUAGGAGCUCCUGCUGCAUGGUGGGGGUUGGAAAGUUUCGGCGGUUGGGGAUGGACUCGCGGCUUAUCAGCUUGUUGGUGGGGUAGUGGCUUACCAAGGCUUUGACGGGUAGCCGGCCUGAGAGGGUGACCGGCCACAUUGGGACUGAGAUACGGCCCAGACUCCUACGGGAGGAAGCAGUGGGGAAUAUUGCACAAUGGGCGGAAGCCUGAUGCAGAAACGCCGCGUGCGGGAUGACGGCCUUCGGGUUGUAACCCGCUUUCGCCUGUGACGAAGCGUGAGUGACGGUAAUGGGUAAAGAAGCACCGGCUAACUACGUG